rnacentral:rRNA from 1 species
CCGAUGGCGACCGGCGCACGGGUGAGUAACACGUAUCCAACCUGCCGAUAACUCGGGGAUAGCCUUUCGAAAGAAAGAUUAAUAUCCGAUAGGAUAUCAAGGUCGCAUGAUCUUGAUAUUAAAGAAUUUCGGUUAUCGAUGGGGAUGCGUUCCAUUAGUUAGUUGGCGGGGUAACGGCCCACCAAGACGACGAUGGAUAGGGGUUCUGAGAGGAAGGUCCCCCACACUGGUACUGAGACACGGACCAGACUCCUACGGAAGGCAGCAG